GCCCAUAUAGCUCAGUUGGUAGAGCACUUCCUUGGUAAGGAAGAGGUCACCGGUUCAAAUCCGGUUAUGGGCU
rnacentral:tRNA from 1 species